rnacentral:lncRNA from 1 species
UCCGUACAGUCCUUCUUGAAGCGACCAGAGAAGCCGGGGCGAGAGAUCCUUACGACGUCGUGGAUUAACUGGAGAGGUACACCAAUGGUACCACCGGCGACUGCCGCAGUAUCUUCGCCGGCCAUUUGAGGGGAAGACGUGGUUGGAGGUGGGGGCUGUGNUACACCAAUGGUACCACCGGCGACUGCCGCAGUAUCUUCGCCGGCCAUUUGAGGGGAAGACGUGGUUGGAGGUGGGGGCUGUGUCUGCGGGGUUCUCUCACAACCACAAUGUGCAGAACAUUGUCAGGGGACAACAGAUAUGGGCUUAUGAG